rnacentral:rRNA from 1 species
GACGGAGGAUGCAAGUGUUAUCCGGAAUCACUGGGCGUAAAGCGUCUGUAGGUGGUUUAAAAAGUCUACUGUUAAAAAUUGAAGCUUAACUUCAAAGAUGCCGUAGAAACUUUUAAACUUGAGGAUGGUAGGGGUAGAGGGAAUUUCCAGUGGAGCGGUGAAAUGCGUAGAUCUUGGAAAGACCACCAAUGGCGAAGGCACUCUACUGGGCCAUGGCUGACACUAAGAGACGAAAGCUAGGGGAGCAAAUGGG